rnacentral:rRNA from 1 species
CCUACGGGUGGCUGCAGUAGGGAAUAUUGCACAAUGGGGGAAACCCUGAUGCAGCAACGCCGCGUGAAGGAUGAAGGUUUUCGGAUUGUAAACCUCUUUUGUUAGAGAAGAAAAUGACGGUAUCUAACGAAUAAGCACCGGCUAACUCCGUGCCAGCAGCCGCGGUAAUACGGAGGGUGCAAGCGUUACCCGGAAUCACUGGGCGUAAAGAGCGCGUAGGCGGGAUAGCAAGUCAGAUGUGAAAUCCUAGGGCUGAACCGUAGAAGUGCAUUUGACACUGUGAUUCUAGAGUGUAGGAGAGGUAAGUGGAAGUCUUGGUGUAGGGGUGAAAUGCGUAGAGAUUAGGAGGAACACCCGUUGCGAAGGCGAC